UCUGGUGUCAGCCGCCGCGGUAAAACCAGCACCUCGAGUGGUCAGGAGGUUUAUUGGGCCUAAAGCAUCCGUAGCCGGUUGCAUAAGUUUUCGGUUAAAUCUAUGCGCUUAACGUAUAGGCUGCCGAAAAUACUGGACAGCUAGGGAGUGGGAGAGGUACACGGUACUCAAUAGGAAGGGGUAAAAUCCUUUGAUCUGUUGAUGACCACCUGUGGCGAAGGCGGUGUACCAGAACACGUUCGACGGUGAGGGAUGAAAGCUGGGGGAGCAAACCGGAUUAGAUACCCGGGUAGUCCCAGCUGUAAACGAUGCAAACUCGGUGACGCAUUGGCUUGUGGCCAAUGCAGUGCCGCAGGGAAGCCGUUAAGUUUGCCGCCUGGGAAGUACGUACGCAAGUAUGAGACUUAAAGGAAUUGGCGGGGGAGCACCACAAGGGGUGAAGCCUGCGGUUCAAUUGGAGUCAACGCCAGAAAUCUUACCCGGAGCGACAGCAGAAUGAAGGUCAAGCUGAAGACUUUACCAGACAAGCU
rnacentral:rRNA from 2 species